AACGAAACCAGUACUAUCCUGGAGUGUGUAUGUAUGAAAGAUAAAUUUAUAUUGCAUAAAAAUACCAAAGCUAGCUCUCGCACAACCCUAGACGAGGAUCUGAAGUCGUGCGCUCCAGAUUGAUCAAUCCAGUAUGUGACCCUUGGACUUGUUAGUGAAGGUUGGUACACUUCACCUUCUCUGAUUCAUGAAUAA
rnacentral:rRNA from 1 species